rnacentral:rRNA from 1 species
CUACAGAACGAACGCUGGCGGCGCGUCUUAAACAUGCAAGUCGAACGAUCUGUAGCAAUACAGGGAGUGGCGGACGGGUGAGGAACACGUAGGAAUCUACCUAGAAGAGCGGGACAACCUUGGGAAACCGGGGCUAAUACCGCAUAGUACAGUGAUGUUAAAGGGCUAGCAAUAGUCGCUUCUAGAUGAGCCUGCGGUCUAUCAGCUUGUUGGCGGGGUAACGGCCCACCAAGGCUACGACGGAUAGCCGGUCUGAGAGGAUGAUCGGCCACACUGGCACUGAGACACGGGCCAGACUCCUACGGGAGGCAGCAGUUAAGAAUCUUGCGCAAUGGACGAAAGUCUGACGCAGCGACGCCGCGUGAAGGAUGAAGGCUUUCGGGUUGUAAACUUCGGUAGACUGGGAAGAAAAAGUAAGUUCGUUGAGGGCUUACAUUGACGGUACCAGUCUGAAGCCCCGGCUAAUUACGUG